GCCUCUGUGUUGUAGUUGGCUAUCACGUGAGUCUCAUAUCUUCUAUAUGAUCAGAAGAAUCACUUCUGGGACAUCUCAAGGUCGGGAUCAAUCCUCCCCGGAGGCA